rnacentral:tRNA from 1 species
CAUUAAGACGCUAAAAAGCAUUAAACUUUUAAGUUAAAGACUUAGAGUUAAAGCUUCUCCUUAAUGA